AGUGAACGCUGGCGGUAGGCCUAACACAUGCAAGUCGAACGGCAGCACAGUAGGAGCUUGCUCUUACGGGUGGCGAGUGGCGGACGGGUGAGGAAUACAUCGGAAUCUACUUUUUCGUGGGGGAUAACGUAGGGAAACUUACGCUAAUACCGCAUACGACCUACGGGUGAAAGCAGGGGAUCUUCGGACCUUGCGCGAUUGAAUGAGCCGAUGUCGGAUUAGCUAGUUGGCGGGGUAAAGGCCCACCAAGGCGACGAUCCGUAGCUGGUCUGAGAGGAUGAUCGGCCACACUGGAACUGAGACACGGUCCAGACUCCUACGGGAGGCAGCAGUGGGGAAUAUUGGACAAUGGGCGCAAGCCUGAUCCAGCCAUACCGCGUGGGUGAAGAAGGCCUUCGGGUUGUAAAGCCCUUUUGUUGGGAAAGAAAAGCAGCAGGUUAAUACCCCGCUGUUCUGACGGUACCCAAAGAAUAAGCACCGGCUAACUUCGUG
rnacentral:rRNA from 1 species